GUAACACGUGGGUGAUCUGCCCUGCACUUUGGGAUAAGCCUGGGAAACUGGGUCUAAUACCGAAUAGGACUACGCGAUGCAUGUCGUGUGGUGGAAAGCUUUUGCGGUGUGGGAUGGGCCCGCGGCCUAUCAGCUUGUUGGUGAGGUUACGGCUCACCAAGGCGACGACGGGUAGCCGGCCUGAGAGGGUGACCGGCCACACUGGGACUGAGAUACGGCCCAGACUCCUACGGGAGGCAGCAGUGGGGAAUAUUGCACAAUGGGCGCAAGCCUGAUGCAGCGACGCCGCGUGAGGGAUGACGGCCUUCGGGUUGUAAACCUCUUUCGCCAGGGACGAAGCGCAAGUGACGGUACCUGGAGAAGAAGGACCGGCCAACUACGUGCCAGCAGCCGCGGUAAUACGUAGGGUCCGAGCGUUGUCCGGAAUUACUGGGCGUAAAGAGCUCGUAGGUGGUUUGUCGCGUUGUUCGUGAAAACUCACAGCUCAACUGUGGGCGUGCGGGCGAUACGGGCAGACUGGAGUACUGCAGGGGAGACUGGAAUUCCUGGUGUAGCGGUGGAAUGCGCAGAUAUCAGGAGGAACACCGGUGGCGAAGGCGGGUCUCUGGGCAGUAACUGACGCUGAGGAGCGAAAGCGUGGGGAGCGAACAGGAUUAGAUACCCUGGUAGUCCACGCCGUAAACGGUGGGUACUAGGUGUGGGUUUCCUUCCUUGGGAUCCGUGCCGUAGCUAACGCAUUAAGUACCCCGCC
rnacentral:rRNA from 1 species